GUCAGCAGGCGCUUAUUUCAGUCAAAUGGGUCAGUCCAUUCACAGACAAGACUUAAGAAAAUAUUACCUUUCUACUUAAAGAUUCCAGGAAUUGCACUUUCUGGGCCCAAAGCCUCCCUGCCUGCCCUCACACCUUUUCUACAGCUGCUGGGUCAGACUGAAGCCUGGGGCCGGCCUACACCUCUGCCUUCGAGUCUUAUCUUCAGUUGCCUGGGCUGCCUUCGGCCGGAGGCCCGCCUACCUGCCCAUGCGCCGUUCUUCAGCAGUCCGGCUGCCCGGCUGCCCGCCAUCAGCAGGCCCACAGCAAGAGUGACGGCCAUAUCGGAGUGGCGAGCAGCAGAGAGAGAGCCUCUCCGAGGCUAAUGGCUGAGAAUUGAAGCCCACCGGGAGAGCGAAGAUAGUCACUGCAAUAAAAGACCCAGCAGACUACAGCGGUUGAAAUGAAUUCUUUCUACAAGAAGAUUUUUCAGAUAUCCACUAUCCAGUUAUGUCAUUACACUGAAGAAAAAUAGCUUGCCACAGCACCACACAAUCUCAGAGGAAGGGUAGAGAUAAAGCUUCCUGAGCAACUAUGGACUGAAACUGCUAAAAACCAUGCAGAGCUUUCCUGUGCCAGACCCUUCCAUCACAUCAUUUCUCUCACGGAGCCAGCCAACUAGGGAUUGUAACUGCUACCAAAAGGUGGGCAGCUUCCUCCACAACACACUCCUGCUGAGAUCUGUCCUGGCACCAGUCUGAAAGCAACAGGACUAACCAACCAUGGUCUGAAGCUGCUGAAACUGUGAGCCCAAAUAAGUCUUUUCUUUUUAAGUUUAUUUAUCUCAGGUAUUUGUUACACCAACAGACCCCUACUACUAC
rnacentral:lncRNA from 1 species